CUCUUUCCACCAUGUGAAGACAUGUCUGGUGAGGGCCAGAAAGCAGAUUCUCACCAGAAACCAAAUCUGCUAACACGUUGAUCUUGGACUUCCCAGCUUCCCAAACUGGAUGCCAAGUUGGAUAAAGAAGCAAAGCCUACUGGAGGAUCAUAUGAAGACACUGAGGAAGAACUCCAAGUGAUGAUGCAGGCAGAGAUUGGAGUGAUGCAGCUGCAAGCCAAGGACUGCUAGCCACCACCAGAAGCUAGGAAGAGGCAAGAAGGAUUCUACCCAGAGUGUCAGAGGGAGCAUGGCCCCACUGACAUCUUGAUUUUGGACUUUUAGCCUCAAGAAUUGUGAUAGAAUAAAUUACUAAAGUUUUCUUAAAGGAAUAAACUGAAAAUAAUGGAUAUAAAUAUUGCAUUUGUCUGUCUCAGUAAUGAUAGCAAGACUUGAUAACUGGGACAUGGAGAGAAACAAAGUCCUUUUCCCCUUUUUUUAUACUCCCAUAUUUUAUUUCUAGAAAUGACACAUAAAUAACAGACUCAGAAAGAGAAUAAUAGAAUGCUUCAGCUUUAUAAAUGGUGAAAUUUAGGAAGCACUAAAGAACUAGUAACUUUCUGCUCAUUUUCAGUCAAACCAUUGGAGGCAUUGCUACUCAGGAGGCAGAGAUGUUGGUUAUACCUAAUUUAUUGCUGUUAGAAAAACUCUGUGGCCUACAGGAUGGUGGCC
rnacentral:lncRNA from 10 species